AACGUAGGACGCAAGCGCUAUCCGGAAUUACUGGGCGUAAAGCGCGUGUAGGUGGUUUUAUAAGUCACUGUUGAAAGCUCCCGGCUAAACUGGGAGAGGUGCGGUGAGACUGUAGAGCUAGAGUUUGGGAGAGGGGUGCGGAAUUCCGGGUGUAGUGGUGAAAUGCGCAGAUAUCAGGAGGAACACCGGUGGCGAAGGCGGCUACCUGGACCAGCACUGACACUGAGGCACGAAAGCGUGGGGAGCAAACAGG
rnacentral:rRNA from 1 species